UACGGAGGAUCCAAGCGUUAUCCGGAUUUAUUGGGUUUAAAGGGUGCGUAGGUAGCUUUUUAAGUCAGGGGUGAAAGACGGUAGCUUAACUAUCGCAGUGCCUUUGAUACUGAAGAGCUUGAAUGAACUAGAGGUAGGCGGAAUGUGACAAGUAGCGGUGAAAUGCAUAGAUAUGUCACAGAACACCAAUUGCGAAGGCAGCUUACUAUGGUUUUAUUGACACUGAGGCACGAAAGCGUGGGGAUCAAACAGG
rnacentral:rRNA from 1 species